rnacentral:rRNA from 1 species
AGAGUUUGAUCAUGGCUCAGAUUGAACGCUGGCGGCGUGCCUAACACAUGCAAGUCGAGCGGUAACAGGUGUAGCAAUACAUGCUGACGAGCGGCGAACGGGUGAGUAAUGCUUCGGAAUCUACCCAAUGGUGGGGAAUAACCAGCCGAAAGGUUGGCUAAUACCGCAUACGUCCCACGGGAGAAAGCAGGGGAUCGCAAGACCUUGCGCCAAUGGAUGAGCCGAAGUCGGAUUAGCUAGUUGGUAGGGUAACGGCCUACCAAGGCGACGAUCCGUAGCUGGUCUGAGAGGACGACCAGCCACACUGGGACUGAGACACGGCCCAGACUCCUACGGGAGGCAGCAGUGGGGAAUAUUGGACAAUGGGGGAAACCCUGAUCCAGCGACGCCGCGUGUGUGAAGAAGGCCUGCGGGUUGUAAAGCACUUUUAGUGGGGAUGAAAAGUUCAGGGCUAACACCUCUGGAUCUUGACCUAACCCACAGAAAAAGCACCGGCUAACUCUGUGCCAGCAGCCGCGGUAAUACAGAGGGUGCAAGCGUUAAUCGGAAUUACUGGGCGUAAAGCGUGCGUAGACGGUUACAUAAGUCGGGUGUGAAAGCCCCGGGCUCAACCUGGGAAUUGCAUUCGAGACUGCGUAGCUAGGGUGCGGAAGAGGGAAGCGGAAUUUCCGGUGUAGCGGUGAAAUGCGUAGAUAUCGGAAGGAACACCAGUGGCGAAAGCGGCUUCCUGGUCCAGCACCGACGUUCAGGCACGAAAGCGUGGGGAGCAAACAGGAUUAGAUACCCUAGUAGUCC